AAAUUGAAGAGUUUGAUCAUGGCUCAGAUUGAACGCUGGCGGCAGGCCUAACACAUGCAAGUCGAACGGUAACAGGAAGCAGCUUGCUGAUUCGCUGACGAGUGGCGGACGGGUGAGUAAUGUCUGGGAAACUGCCUGAUGGAGGGGGAUAACUACUGGAAACGGUAGCUAAUACCGCAUAAUGUCGCAAGACCAAAGAGGGGGACCUUCGGGCCUCUUGCCAUCGGAUGUGCCCAGAUGGGAUUAGCUAGUAGGUGGGGUAACGGCUCACC
rnacentral:rRNA from 1 species